rnacentral:rRNA from 1 species
UACGUAGGGUGCGAGCGUUGUCCGGAUUUAUUGGGCGUAAAGAGCUCGUAGGCGGUUUGUCGCGUCGGCCGUGAAAUCUCCACGCUUAACGUGGAGCGUGCGGUCGAUACGGGCAGACUUGAGUUCGGCAGGGGAGACUGGAAUUCCUGGUGUAGCGGUGAAAUGCGCAGAUAUCAGGAGGAACACCGGUGGCGAAGGCGGGUCUCUGGGCCGAUACUGACGCUGAGGAGCGAAAGCGUGGGGGAGCGAACAGG